rnacentral:rRNA from 1 species
UAACACGUGGGUGACCUGCCCUAGAGUGGGGAAUAACGUUGGGAAACCAGCGCUAAUACCGCAUACGCUCCGGCCUUCAUAGGCCGGAGGAAAGCUUGAUGCGCUCAAGGAGGGGCCCGCGGCGGAUUAGCCAGGCGGUGGGGUAACGGCCUACCGCGGCGACGAUCCGUAGCUGGUCUGAGAGGACGGCCAGCCACACUGGGACUGAGACACGGCCCAGACUCCUACGGGAGGCAGCAGUAAGGGAUCUUCCGCAAUGGGCGCAAGCCUGACGGAGCGACGCCGCGUGGACGAAGACGCCUUUCGGGGUGUAAAGUCCUUUUCGGGGGGAGGAGAUGGACCGUACCCCCGGAAUAAGCCUCGGCUACCACGUGCCAGCAGCCGCGGUAAUACGUAGGAGGCGAGCGUUGUCCGGAAUUACUGGGUGUAAAGCGCGUGUAGGCGGUGGGUUAAGUCUGUUGUGAAAGCGCCCGGCUCAACCGGGCAGAGUCAAUGGAAACUAGCUCACUGGAGGUCGGUAGAGGCGAGUGGAAUUCCCGGUGUAGUGGUGAAAUGCGUAGAGAUCGGGAGGAACACCAGUGGCGAAGGCGGCUCGCUGGGCCGGACCUGACGCUGAGACGCGAAGGCGUGGGGAGCGAACGGGAUUAGAUACCCCGGUAGUCCACGCAGUAAACGAUGCACACUAGGUGUGGGGGGUAUCGAGCCCCUCCGUGCCGCAGCUAACGCAGUAAGUGUGCCACCUGGGGAGUACGGCCGCAAGGUUAAAACUCAAAGGAAUUGACGGAAUCGAAUU